GGGUGCAGCCAUCUGAUAAGGUUAGAGUGCAUUUUCUUUUCUUUUCCUUCUAUUCUUUUAAUUUUAAUUUCAAUUUUUUAAAACUUUGUCUCCCCAUUCUACUGUCGUUCAUAUUUUUCUGGAAGGGAAUGCAUUCAUAUUUUUUCUGGUGAUGUUUAGCCUCAUGGAUCAUUGGCCUCCAUUUCAUCCUCUCUUGCCCUGAAUCUUUAAUGCAUGAACUGAUUUCUCUUUUUCAAAGUCUAUCGAAGCUCUAUUUUUCUCACAACAAUUUAGAUACGAAGGUACUUAAUUUAAUGUUUAUGAAUUGGUAGUAGAAAUAUGAAUCCAAGAAUUAUACAUUUGACACAAUAUCUAUCUUUUUGUCGAUGAAUUGAAUCUGUUUAUUCUAUGUGCUCAUAUCUUUGAGAGGUUUUGUGGUGCAGGUACAAAGCAUAGGGUGCUCUUUUGGGAAAGCAGUUAGCAGAAAGAGAUAUCGUAGUCCUUAACUUUAUGAUAAAGACUAAAAAAUCAGGCUAACUUGAGAUUUAAAAAGAGAUAUCAUAGUCCUUAGCACUUCACUUACUAUCUGAAUCAGCUCUAUUAUUUCAUCUCCAAUCAUGAUGACCCCCAGGUUGCUUCGAAGAACAUCAAUCUUAAUUCUAUCCUUCUAGUGCACAUCCAUCUCAAAAUCCUAAACAUUUUCCCUUUGUUAUUCCUUCUUAAUGGUCCAUACCUCUCCUCUGUAGCUGAUUUAAUAGUUGUUUUAUAAAACUUUUCCGCAAGUUGAAUUGGAAUGUUGCGAUCACACAACACUCUAAAGGCUCAACUACUGGGAAAAAGAAGCUCAUUAUGAUGUUUCGGAGUUUAUAUUAUUGGAUGCAACAACAACAUCUGUAUAAAUUUUAUAUUAUGCCAUUCUCUCAUAGGUUUCCGGUAAUGGAGAGAAAGCCAAGGAGAUACAAGCUAAAGUUCUUAAGCAUGUGGAACUCUCGAAAUCACUUCUAGAGGUUUGACUAUAUUGAACGAGAUUGGUGAGCUCGUGGCCUUGGUUGCAAUUUUGAAUUUCAGAGGUUAAUGGAAUGCAUUUUUGGAUUGUGUAUUUUGUAUAUUUUUGGCUCCUAUAUUGAUGUAUGUGACAAAUCCACUGUGUCCAUAUGUUUUUAAAGAUAGCAGUAGGAUAGGAUUUUAAAAAUCAGGCAGAUUUAAAACUCAACUAGGCCGGUGGGAACGGAAAUGUCAACCGUUGAGACCAUCCUGGAGCUGACCAUAAUGUUUAUAUGCCAUCCAAACCAUUCUUAUGGUUAUUACUACUGAGAUAAACUGUAGAAACAAAUAUUAUCCUGACACAACUUCCGUCACCCCAG